rfam:Caprimulgus carolinensis contig52217, whole genome shotgun sequence.
ACCAAGGCUCUUUUCAGAGCCACCCACAAAUCUCAUAAUACGAGCU